rnacentral:lncRNA from 1 species
AGGAGGGGGGAGGAAGCUGGAAAGACGGCCAGGCUCUUAAUGAUAAGCACAGGCAGCAGGAUGAAGCCUCAGACAGAAAGAAAGAAGGGAAGACAAGAGGGUUUCUGGGCCUGAGGGGGAGGAAGAGAGAUGAGGAGAGACAGAGAUCCAUGGCGUAGGGAUCUAGAGAAAAAAAAGAAAACAAGGGCAGGCUGCCUGUGUAGUUUUCUGAGUUUUCAAACUAAGAAAAGAUCUGAAAUGAGACAAGAAAAAAAAUGCAUGCAAAGAAAAUGGCUUUAAAGGACAAGUUAACAGCAUCUUUCUACAUUGAAAACCGGCCCCAGAAAAUUUCAUUCAGGAAUUGAACACAUAGGUAGGUCUCAUAGACUGGGUAAAAGUGCUCAUUGCUUUCUGACUGUGAGUCAUUCUGUAGCUCUGAAUAGGUCAUCUCUGCAUGCAUUUUCGACACUUCCAAGAAACGAGAAAAAAAUGUUGACCUUACGUGUUUCGCUGAUAAUGUGCUUGAGGACUAGCUUUUAUUUAGUGCCUGAUAUGUGUUAAGUAUUUAGUGGACGUUUUAUAAAUGUGUCUAAAUCCACCCUGAAAACAAUCGCGUGUGGGAGAUAUUAUUUUUCUUGUUAACAGAUAUAGGAAGCAAGGCUCCAUGAGGUUGAAUAGCUUGCCUAAAGUCCUGUGACUGGUAAGUACUGAAGCUGGGAUUUAAACCUCGGCUGCCUUGGGCUCUGUGGACAUCACAUGGGGUGCCUUAUCAGAUGGGGCCUGAGCAUUAUGUUCCUGGUGUUCUAUCACCUUCUCCUGCUUCCAGACUUCCAGGAAAUGCCCUUCCCAGAACCAACUCCACCCAGCUGCUGUUAGCACAAUUUGCCUGCAAGACAGAUGCUAUCUCUGAGGCUGGCACCGGCCUCCUCCAGGACUGGAGCCCGUGAUAGAUGUCCUCUGAGGUUGACUGGGGAGAAGAAGCCGUUACAUUCUUCUGCAAUGUAAUGCAAAACAGAUCCGGCUUUGGCUCCGGCCAACACCAGGGAAGUGGACUUCAUUGUAAAAGCCACCUUGUCAGCGUCAGCCCCGGGUGAUUAAUGACUCUUUAAUCCCAGAGCAGAAUACCUGACAAAAUACGCUUGGGCCAAAAAGGCAGAACAAACCUAAUUAGCCUGGUCAACCCACUCACAAGGUGUGGGUUGCCAAGGACCCCAACAGCUCGGAAAGGAAGCCUCUCCCGGCCUCUCCCUUUAGGUCUGUGAAAGAAUCAAGUGGCCACAAUGGGGAAGGGACUCCAUUAAAAGCAGGGGCUGGCCAAUGAAUAAACAUGCAGGUUACCGUGUUGAUAUUUCA